rnacentral:tRNA from 1 species
GGGCCUGUGGUGUAACCAGGAUCGCACACGUGGCUUCGGACCAUGUAAUCUGGGUUCAAAAGGUGGCAAACUCCACCUGGACGUUAGGUCGGCGUGAAGCCGACCGGUGCGCUUCGUGCAUAACGUCAUGAGAUUGCCGCAUGAAAGUCCCAGCAGGCCCG